UGGGGAAUAUUGCACAAUGGGCGCAAGCCUGAUGCAGCCAUGCCGCGUGUGUGAAGAAGGCCUUCGGGUUGUAAAGCACUUUCAGCGAGGAGGAAGGUGGUGAGCUUAAUACGCUCAUCAAUUGACGUUACUCGCAGAAGAAGCACCGGCUAACUCCGUGCCAGCAGCCGCGGUAAUACGGAGGGUGCAAGCGUUAAUCGGAAUUACUGGGCGUAAAGCGCACGCAGGCGGUUUGUUAAGUCAGAUGUGAAAUCCCCGGGCUCAACCUGGGAACUACAUUUGAAACUGGCAAGCUAGAGUCUCGUAGAGGGGGGUAGAAUUCCAGGUGUAGCGGUGAAAUGCGUAGAGAUCUGGAGGAAUACCGGUGGCGAAGGCGGCCCCCCUGGACGAAGACUGACGCUCAGGUGCGAAAGCGUGGGGAGCAAAACAGGAUUAGAUACCCUGGUAGUCCACGCUGUAAAACGAUGUCGAUUUUGGAGGUUGUGCCCCUUGAGGCGUGGNUUCCGGAGCUAACGCGUUAAAUCGACCGCCUGGGGAGUACGGCCGCAAGGUUAAAACUUAAAGGAAUU
rnacentral:rRNA from 1 species